CCCCAACUCUCUCAGCCUGUCUUCAGAGGAGAGGUGCUCCAGCACCCUGAUCGUCUUCGUGGCCCUCGUCUGGACCUCACUCCAAUCCAUGGCCUUGCUUC